rnacentral:rRNA from 1 species
GACGAACGCUGGCGGCGUGCCUAACACAUGCAAGUCGAGCGGGGACAUAUACGGAAGGUCUUCGGAUUGGAAGGAUAUGUUCUAGCGGCGGACGGGUGAGUAACGCGUGAACAAUCUGUCCCAGACAGGGGGAUAACAGAUGGAAACAUCUGCUAAUACCGCAUAAGACCACGUCCUCACAUGAGGGAGAGGUAAAAGGAGCAAUCCGGUUUGGGGUGAGUUCGCGUCCGAUUAGCUAGUUGGUGAGGUAACGGCCCACCAAGGCGACGAUCGGUAGCCGACCUGAGAGGGUGAUCGGCCACAUUGGAACUGAGAGACGGUCCAAACUCCUACGGGAGGCAGCAGUGGGGAAUAUUGGGCAAUGGGCGAAAGCCUGACCCAGCAACGCCGCGUGAGGGAAGAAGGUUUUCGGAUUGUAAACCUCUGUCCUCAGGGACGAAGGAAGUGACGGUACCUGAGGAGGAAGCCCCGGCUAACUACGUGCCAGCAGCCGCGGUAAUACGUAGGGGGCGAGCGUUGUCCGGAAUGACUGGGCGUAAAGGGCGUGUAGGCGGCCGAUUAAGUGUGGAGUGAAAGUCCACUUUUCAAGGGUGGAAUUGCUUUGCAGAUUGGUUGGCUUGAGUGCGGAAGAGGUAAGUGGAAUUCCCAGUGUAGCGGUGAAAUGCGUAGAGAUUGGGAGGAACACCAGUGGCGAAGGCGACUUACUGGGCCGUAACUGACGCUGAGGCGCGAAAGCGUGGGGAGCGAACAGGAUUAGAUACCCUGGUAGUCCACGCUGUAAACGAUG